UUACGGCCAUACCACCCUGAACACGCCCGAUCUCGUCUGAUCUCGGAAGCUAAGCAGGGUCGGGCCUGGUUAGUACUUGGAUGGGAGACCGCCUGGGAAUACCAGGUGCUGUAAG
rnacentral:rRNA from 1 species